rnacentral:rRNA from 1 species
AUUGAACGCUGGCGGCAGGCCUAACACAUGCAAGUCGAGCGGAGCGGCUGACGGGUGCGUCAUGCCUAUGAAUCUGCCUGGUCGUGGUGGCUAACGUCCGGAACCGGGCUCUAAUACCGCAUCCUAUCAGAUUAGCCUCGGUCGGCUUAGCUAGUUGGUGGGGUAAAGGCCUACCAAGGCGACGAUCCGUAACUGGUCUGAGAGGAUGAUCAGUCACACUGGAACUGAGACACGGUCCAGACUCCUACGGGAGGCAGCAGUGGGGAAUAUUGGACAAUGGGCGAAAGCCUGAUCCAGCCAUGCCGCGUGUGUGAAGAAGGUCUUCGGAUUGUAAAGCACUUUAAGUAGGGAGGCGUUACCAACAGAAUAAGCACCGGCUAACUUCGUGCCAGCAGCCGCGGUAAUAC